rnacentral:rRNA from 1 species
AAAUGACUCUCGGCAACGGAUAUCUCGGCUCUCGCAUCGAUGAAGAACGUAGCGAAAUGCGAUACUUGGUGUGAAUUGCAGAAUCCCGUGAACCAUCGAGUCUUUGAACGCAAGUUGCGCCCGAAGCCUUCGGGCUGAGGGCACGUCUGCCUGGGCGUCACGCAU